rnacentral:rRNA from 1 species
UAAUACGAAGGGGGCUAGCGUUGUUCGGAAUUACUGGGCGUAAAGCGCGCGCAGGCGGUUCUUUAAGUCAGGGGUGAAAGCCCAGAGCUCAACUCUGGAACUGCCCUUGAAACUAGAGAACUUGGGUACGGGAGAGGUGAGUGGAAUUCCGAGUGUAGAGGUGAAAUUCGUAGAUAUUCGGAAGAACACCAGUGGCGAAGGCGGCUCACUGGCCCGUUA